GAGGGUAUAGCUCAAGUGAUAGAGUGCAUGCUUAGCAGGCAUAAAGUCCUGGGUUCAAUCCCCGGUACUGCCA
rnacentral:tRNA from 1 species